AAAAUGUCAGAUCUCGAUCAUCGACUGAAGAUAAGUUAACAAUAGUGAAAUGAAAGUAGCCAAGUGUUGGUUUUUGGAGGUGGGUGUGACUCAAAGACACACUCAAAGUGUGUGUGUGUGUGUGUGUGUGUGUGUGUGUGUGUGUGUGUGUGUGUGUGUGUGUGUGUGUGUGUGUGUGUGUGUGUGUGUGUGUGUGUGUGUGUGUGUGUGUGU